rnacentral:ncRNA from 1 species
GUUUUCCGAGCGGCUCUCGGGUCGUUCGGUUUUUAUCGAAAAGAUGCUCAAACUGGAUCAUUUAGAGGAAGUAAAAGUCGUAACAAGGUAUUCGUAGGUGAACCUGCGUAUGGAUCAUUA